CGGUCGCAGCAGCGGCCGCUGGGACCUAGGGUCCGAGUCAGAGCGGGUCAGGCGCCUGGCUGUGCAGGGAAGCGGAGCGGGACCGCGAGCGGGUGGACCCGGGGGGACAGCGCUGCGUCCGGAGAUCGGGCAAUAACUGCCGUGCGAGGCCCCCGGGAGGGAAGGGCGAACCCCGCGACGCCCAUAGGCAGGCAAGAGGGCGGGGGGCCAGUCUCCGUCAGCGGAGGGGUGACCACCCACCAGCGGGCAGAAGGGGACCAGUUUCUGCCCAUAGAGAGAAGGCGACGCCCUGCCGGAGGGCAGCAGAGGAGCGAGCCGAGCCCCGCCGGUCGCCAGGACUCGGAAGGGGACAAGGACAACAUGGAACCCCAGCAACAGCAGCGAGAGCACAGAGAUGGCAGGGUGUCGCGAGCAGUGGGCGUGGGGUGCGCUCCUGUGCUGUGGAAGGGAUGGCCCAGUGGUUAAGGUAAAACACGAGGCAACGUUGGCACCGUCUACAGCCAGCCGUGGGGACCUGCUUGCUACUGGUCUUGUCAUUCCCGGAGCCAGGGUGUCAGCUGGACUUGUCAUUCCCGGAGCCAGGGUGUCAGCUGGACUUGUCAUUCCCGGAGCCAGGGUGUCAGCUGGACUUGUCAUUCCCGGACCCAGGGUGUCAGCUGGUCUUGUCAUUCCCGGACCCAGGGUGUCAGCUGGUCUUGUCAUUCCCGGACCCAGGGUGUCAGCUGGUCUUGUCAUUCCCAGACCCAGGGUGCUCCACGGCUCCACAGUCCUCGUGCCCUUUCUCACCUUGCCGAAGGCCACGUGCUUGCCAAGCACGCCUCAGGCUCGGCAGCGCCGAUGAAAAGCUGGAACCGUUUGUGUUGGCCCAACUUUCGCCAUGGAGAAGAUGCCAGGACGCAUGUACUCGAGGGCGACUCUCAUUCCUCCCUGGAUGGACUCGCCGCCUGUGCCAUUAUGUUGUGUGAAGUCACCAGCCUGGCGCACAGAUCCCAGAAUAAUUCUGUGAAGGCAGGACCCUUCAUGGCCAAAUCACUCCUCCCCAGUGCUCAGAGCAGGGCCGUUUUCUGCUGUCUUUGGAACUUGGUCUGCAAAGAGCUGGAAGGAGAUGAGGCCCAAGGGCUCGCCGGCAAUGUUGAAGAACGCCGUGGGGUUGGCCUGGGCUAGGGCGGCUCCUGGGGCAGUGUCUGCAGUGUCUUCUCUGGAAAUUCUGUGGGCUUUACCUUUUCAUCACCUCCCCACCCCCACCCUGGCAGCAGUGUGGUGUGAGGCACCAUUGUGUCUCGCCUAGAUUUCUUUACUGGGUUCCUAACCGGUGUCCCUAUUUCUGCCCUACAGUUCAUUCUCAGUACAGUAGCCAGGGUGAUGGUGUUACACUCUAAGUCAUUUCUCUGCCUGAAACCCUCCGGGGCUCCUUAUCUCAGAGUAAAAGCUAAAGUGGCCUCCAAGGUCCUCUCUGCUCUGGCCCUGACCUUGGCUCCAUCAUCUCCAGACCUUGGCUCCUCCUUGCUCCCUCUGCUCCAGCCACACUGGCCUCCUUGCUGUCUUUUGAACUUGCCAGCCCUGCCCCUCCUGCCUCAGGACCUUUGCACAUGCUGCUCCCUUGGCCUGGAAUGGUCUUCCUUCAGAUUUCCCCAUCAUGGGCCCCCUCACCUCCUUCAAGUCUUUGUUCAGAUGUUAACUUCUCAGAUCAUACUUGACAUCUCCUCCCUCCUUUUUUUCUAUAGACCUUACCCUCUAAUAUUUACUUGUCUGCCUCCCUCACUAGAAUGUCAGUUCCCAACCUCAUGGAGCUGACAUUUGUCUGUUUUAUUUACUGCUGUAUCUCUGCUGCCUAAACCUGGCCCAUAGGAGGUGCUCAAUAAAUGUUUAUUUUAAAGAA